UCACUGGGUUCGGUUCCUGGGUCCUAGUCCAUUUUUGCCAUCUAUACUUCCAAGCUGGUGCCGCCAUCUUUGUUCCUUACAGAAGAUUCUCCAAUUAGUUUACAGGAACGCCAUGUCGCAAAUAGUGUGAUGUUACUGUCUUCUAGGUCCAAACUAAUUAAGGCCCGUAUUUAUAGUCGAGUCUCAAGACAGCGUCGAUGCUCAAGACCGACCUUGAACCAACUUUGUGUUUUAUAAACCGAUCUCGAGACCCGACGCAGUCUUGGGAAGUGUAAAAUGACAGGCGAAUCUCAAGUCAUCGAUCGACCUUCCUCAAGACCGCGAUUCUAACCUAACUUUGUUUGUUAUUGUUUGAAUUUUGAAUAUUUUUAAUUCAGUUCCAACAUAUAUUUUUUGUUUUUCUAAUUACAAUAAAAAUGUAUGAAGAAGUAAAAGCAUUUUUAGAGUUUAUUGAUAAUAUUGGAGAAGAAAAUCGCCCAGGAAGUAUACAAAAGCGAUAUAUUCAAGAUAAAAAUAUAAUCUAAAAUACAAUGGAGUAUUACAAUAUUGAAAUUCAUCAGCGAAUCAGCGCAUUAACUUAAACAACAAAGGUUUUAUGCUACUUAUAGGAAUAUAACCAGUUUUUAUAAGGAAGCCCACUUUCCAAAAAUGUACAGGUACUAGAAGAGAAAUUAUGUAUAUUAUUGUAUUGUUCAACAAGAAGGUCAUCAAGUUAUUCAAUAUUUGAUCUAAGAGCAUUAAGAGUGAAAUUGUGAAAUGGAAAGAAGUGAAAUUCCAGGAUUAUUAAUAGGAAUAGAUGACAGUAGUGGGUAUGCAUGCAGACACUAUCUACUUACCCCAGUAUUACAGCCAGGUAAUGAUCAAGAAAAUAAGAUAUUUUUACCAUAGUACUCAUGUGAGAACAAGAAAUGUAGAAAAGCUAUUUGGAACCUGGAAAAGAGAGUUUCCUUGUCUUCAACAAGGUCUACAAACCAAAUUAUAUACAUGUCUUGCAAUAAUAUGUGCUACAGCAGUACCUUAUAAUCUAGGUAAAUAAUGAUCUGGUGGUAAAUAGACAUGUUAAUGAUGUGGAACAAUCUCUAAAUUUUUGGUGACAUUUUUUUCAACAAUGUUUUGCAUGAGAAUAUAUUAUUGAAUACCUACUCUUAUUGUGUUUGAUUUUUUUGUCGUAUUAUUUCUCAAAAUGUCAUCAUGAUCAUUGUUCGACAACCCUUUUUGUUUGAGUUUUGGUCUCUUGAGGAAUACAGCUCCAUUCCAGUCUAUUUCAGGAUUUGUUCUUACAAUUUUUUAUUUUUAAAAUAUCAAUGUCUUAUUCUAUUUGUUCCUUAUAUCUAAUCUAUAGUCUUUCUCUCGUUAUAUGUCCAGCUGACAUUUGUGUGUUUAUUUUGGAAAGUAUUUCAUAUGCUUCCAUCCUUCCUCUUAGAACGUGGUCCUAUUUUGAUGAAUGUAUAUGGAUCGUGGUAUGCCCUGUAUUGUUCAAAAUUAUAUUUCAUAUGCUUCCAUCCUUCCUCUUAGAACGUGGUCCUAUUUUGAUGAAUGUAUAUGGAUCGUGGUAUGCCCUGUAUAGUUCAAAAUUAUAUUUCAUAUGCUUCCAUCCUUCCUCUUAGAACGUGGUCCUAUUUUGAUGAAUGUAUAUGGAUCGUGGUAUGCCCUAUGCCCUGUAUAGUUCAAAAUUAUAUCUUCUCUGGUCUUCAUAUUUUAGAUGCUAUUUAGCCUGAUUCUAGUGCUUUAUCGUUAUUUCCAGUGCUUUAUCAAUUUAUCAUCAUUUAUUUUACCUACCUGUCUACUGCUACUCUACUUUCACCAUAUAUUUUUGGAAUAUAAAUAUAUAGUAACCUUCUGUCUUUCUCUUGUUCAACUGGAAUUUGUUUAUUUAUUCUGAGAUUAUUGAAUUUAUGAAUAUUAUUGAAUCUGUAUUAUGUUAGAUAUAUUAUUUUUUAUUUUAUUUCUUAAUAUGUAUUUUUUAUAUUUUAUUUUAAAAUAAAUGAGUAUGAGUUUCCCUCUUCUUAAAUAAGUAUUUAU